rnacentral:rRNA from 1 species
UACGUAGGGUGCGAGCGUUGUCCGGAAUUACUGGGCGUAAAGAGCUCGUAGGUGGUUUGUCGCGUUGUUCGUGAAAACUCACAGCUUAACUGUGGGCGUGCGGGCGAUACGGGCAGACUGGAGUACUGCAGGGGAGACUGGAAUUCCUGGUGUAGCGGUGGAAUGCGUAGAUAUCGGAAGGAACACCAGUGGCGAAAGCGGCUUCCUGGUCCAGCAUCGACGUUCAGGCACGAAAGCGUGGGGAGCAAACAGG